rnacentral:rRNA from 1 species
CAGUCGCCACGGUAAUACGUAGGUGGCAAGCGUUGUCCGGAAUUAUUGGGCGUAAAGGGCUUGCAGGCGGUUUCUUAAGUCUGAUGUGAAAGCCCCCGGCUCAACCGGGGAGGGUCAUUGGAAACUGGGAAACUUGAGUGCAGAAGAGGAGAGUGGAGUUCCACGUGUAGCGGUGAAAUGCGUAGAGAUGUGGAGGAACACCAGUGGCGAAGGCGACUCUCUGGUCUGUAACUGACGCUGAGGAGCGAAAGCGUGGGGAGCGAACAGGAUUAGAGACCCCUGUAGUCCCUGUCUCUUAUAC